GGAGGCACUGCCUGCCCAGUGACACGUGUUCAACGGCCGCGGUAUCCUGACCGUGCAAAGGUAGCAUAAUCACUUGUUCUCUAAUUAAGGACUUGAAUGAAUGGCAACACGAGGGUUUAACUGUCUCUUACUUUCAAUCAGUGAAAUUGACCUCCCCGUGAAGAGGCGAGGAUGUUACAAUAAGACGAGAAGACCCUAUGGAGCUUAAAUCAAACAAUCCAAACAAACUCACUUCCAAGCCUAACAACUGGUAUAAUCACUUAAUAAUACUGGAUUAAAGAUUUCGGUUGGGGUGACCUCGGAGCAUAACAAAACCUCCGAAUAACUUUUACCUAGACCUGACCAGUCAAAGUACACUCAUCAUCAAUUGACCCAAAACCAAUUUGAUCAACGGAACAAGUUACCCUAGGGAUAACAGCGCAAUCCUAUUACAGAGUCCAUAUCGACAAUAGGGUUUACGACCUCGAUGUUGGAUCAAGACACCCUAAUGGUGCAACCGCUAUUAACGGUCCGUUUGUUC
rnacentral:rRNA from 1 species